rnacentral:rRNA from 1 species
UGCCAGCCGCCGCGGUAAUACGGAGGGGGCAAGCGUUGUUCGGAAUUACUGGGCGUAAAGGGCGCGUAGGCGGGAUAUCAAGUCAGGGGUGAAAGGCCUGGGCUCAACCUGGGAACUGCCUUUGAAACUGAUAUUCUUGAGUCCGGAAGAGGAUGGCGGAAUUCCCAGUGUAGAGGUGAAAUUCGUAGAUAUUCGGAGGAACACCAGUGGCGAAGGCGGCUCACUGGCUCGAUACUGACGCUGAGGUGCGAAAGCGUGGGGAGCAAACAGGAUUAGAUA